rnacentral:rRNA from 1 species
UACAGAGGUCUCAAGCGUUGUUCGGAUUCAUUGGGCGUAAAGGGUGCGUAGGCGGCGCGGUAAGUCGGGUGUGAAAUCUUGGAGCUUAACUCCGAAACUGCAUUCGAUACUGCCGUGCUUGAGGACUGGAGAGGAGACUGGAAUUUACGGUGUAGCGGUGAAAUGCGUAGAUAUCGUAAGGAAGACCAGUGGCGAAGGCGGGUCUCUGGACAGUUCCGUGACGCUGAGGCAACGAAGGCCAGGGGAGCAAACGGG